rnacentral:rRNA from 1 species
GAUGAACGCUGGCGGCGUGCCUAAUACAUGCAAGUCGAGCGAACAGAUGAGGAGCUUGCUCCUCUGACGUUAGCGGCGGACGGGUGAGUAACACGUGGAUAACCUACCUAUAAGACUGGGAUAACUUCGGGAAACCGGAGCUAAUACCGGAUAAUAUAUUGAACCGCAUGGUUCAAUAGUGAAAGACGGUUUUGCUGUCACUUAUAGAUGGAUCCGCGCCGCAUUAGCUAGUUGGUAGGGUAACGGCUUACCAAGGCAACGAUGCGUAGCCGACCUGAGAGGGUGAUCGGCCACACUGGAACUGAGACACGGUCCAGACCCCUACGGGAGGCAGCAGUAGGGAAUCUUCCGCAAUGGGCGAAAGCCUGACGGAGCAACGCCGCGUGAGUGAUGAAGGUCUUCGGAUCGUAAAACUCUGUUAUUAGGGAAGAACAAAUGUGUAAGUAACUAUGCACGUCUUGACGGUACCUAAUCAGAAAGCCACGGCUAACUACGUG